rnacentral:misc_RNA from 1 species
GGCCGCCACACACUUCACACGUGCUUAAAUCCGCCGGAAUCAGUCCUUCAACGUACUUCUUCAGCUCACCUGCUUCAUGUAGCUGCCGAAUCUCCUCCGCACCACCAAUGUACCUCCCGCCAAUGAAAACUCUCGGCAAAGACGGUUUCGUCUUUUCACGGAUACCCAAUAUCGUCUUUAGCUCAUCCAUAAACCCAGAAUCCAUGGACACAUCUCGUUCGUCGAUCGAAACUCGGAAGCUACGGAGAAUCGUUCGAACGGCUUUGCAAUCGUCAAAUGUAGAACGAAUUACUCUCAGACUGGUGAAGUAGAUCACAAUCUUUU